CUCAAAUGUUUUUCGUAGUUGCUUUUUUUUAAUGCCAUUACGCGCCAUUUUAUAGUAUUGUCCAACAAUAGAGGUCGAUAUAAAAUAGAUUCAAAUCUAAAAUUGGGCUUUAUCCAGGCUUCGCUUCACAUCACAUCAAGCUCAAGAAAAGUUAACACUCGGGAGUAGCUGUUAGCAUUGGAGCGCCCCGGAGAGGCUGCGUAGCGGGAGUGAACGGCGAAAAAGACGGAAUCAAACUUCUUCAGCGUCUGUCGUCAUGGAGAACGUGGGAUGGAAGCGAUAACCCGGCUGCAGAGAGACUAUGUUGCAAUGGAGUGUACAGCCUCACUUUCUUCAUUUGCCUCCUGCUCUUAUCGUCUGUUCCAGAAGUCCGAGUGCUGCUUGUACCAGCUGAUGUUCCUGCGGUUGCGGAUCAGCCUCCUGUGGGACGCCGCAGCCGCCGCCUUCUCCUGGAUGCUCUCUCCCGCUGAGGGCGAGAGGGACGACAAGUCACGCAUAAUCCCCCGGGCUUUUGGACACCGGAGUGGACGACUUUCCGGUGACUUUUGAAAGUUUUGAAUGAAGGAACUUUGAUGCUGUUUCUUUAAAUACUUACCUAACGUGUCCUUUUUAAUCGUAUAUACAGCAUAGUUACAUUUAAAGCACUUUGUUAUGCUAUGCUAUAAGUGUUUUAUUUACCAUCUCUUUUAGCCUUGCUGGUGAGCGGUCCGGCGGACACGUCAGCUGCAAAAAAACAAAGAAAACAAAACCAGAUGUGAACGGAACAGAAGCAGAUUGCAAUAGCUUUUGCUUACGAUGUUAACGCGCAAAACGCUUACAGGCGCACAUUCUUCAAUACGUAUAGGCUAGCGGUUGCUUGCCUCCGCCCGCGGGGGCCUCGCUGACUACAGCUCUUUGUAGAUUUUAUAGGUGGGCCUGUAACACUGUGGACCCCUGCUGCGUCUUAAAAGCUGUGUGUGUGUGCGCGCGAUGGAACAGUGGAUUCAGCUUUUUUCCGAGCUUCUUUCAUCUCCAUAGGGAAAAGGUGUUAAUGCAUUACAGAAGGAGAGGAAGAUGAUGAUGAUGGAGGGCUGAUCCAAGGGUGUCUAAAGUAACAUUAAAAAAAAAAUCAGGAAGCGCCAGGUGAUGUGAUGCGAUGGAAGGGGGCGGGGCCCAAAAAAAAAGCCUUUAAAAGGAAGAGUCCGGCACAUCUGGAAACGGGAGCAAUUUGAGGCGGAGGUGAUGCUGACAGAUUGUUCAAGCGUACCUCGUGAGGACCUUCACACUGCAAGUGUUGCUACUUUUGAGAAGAAGUAAAGUCUUUUGAAUGAGUGACCUCCACAGGGGUGCACUCACCUGGCAGCAGCAUCAGCAUCAGCAGAGCGGUGACCAGCGCAGCGGAGAAACUUGUCCUCCUCAGUCCGGCCAUGACUCGACUCGUCUCUUCUCCUGCCAGGAAAGACAAAGUCAAAUCACUUUUUUAACAAGCACCAAAGUCAGAAACGACCCCAAACUUCACUGUGAACUUGACCCACUUAUGUAAAAAUAGCUCAACUUCGUACCUUCGGUUGCCUUGGCGACAAGUCUCACUGCGGAUCCAGCUAGGGGAUUCUGAGGGACCGGGAAGAUGACUGAUGGUCCACCUGUGAUCAAUGUGUGUGUGUGUGUGUGUGUGUGGCACGACUCCCUGAGACAAACUACCCUGACGGACGGAACGGAGCCAGGUUUUAAACCAGGCCCAUCAUCACUGACACACAACAGGUGCAGUCAUACAUGCAGGAGAGAAAGAGGAUCAACGUCAGUGAGGUGCCAGAAGACAUGAGAAGCUAAUGAGGGGAGCCGAGGUGCCACAUAAGCAGUUCUCGGAGGCCGUGGCCAGCGCCAAAACCACAAACACAGCUUGUGGCAUAGUGAGGAGUAUACCAUUGAAGAAGUCCAAGUGAACUGCCUUCUCAUUGGCUGCCAGGUCCAUUAAAAGGCCGCUGCUGCCACCUGCCUGCAGACACACGCCAGUACAACAGUGCUCGUGCCCCAUGUUGGUCUCGUAGCCCAGCGUGUUUCCCAAGUGCUGGUGGGCGAAGAAGGCCCGGGCCAUCUCAUUGAUGUGGUUGUAGGCCCCGAUGGAUUUGAAGUACUCAAUGUAGUUCCAGAAGUCAGAGGUGGAGUACGGCCAGUAAGGAACGGCUGGUGGUUCAUCAUAUGGUACUGAGAAGAAGGGAGUCAACACAGGGGAAGCCACACUCACCUUUGACUUAGCGGAAUCGCUGGUGGGAGAAUCUGCGGACGGAAAAGAGAAGACAAAACAUCAAGAAGCGGCAGCAGGAGUCAGGUAAGAAAAGGAGACGCAUGUUAAUGGGUUGGUGAGGUGCACAAUGGUGUUAGACAAGACGCACACACACACACACACACAAGCAGGCAACAGGCCAUGCUUACAAGCCUAGCUUACACAUGUGGACACGCACGCCCCCCCCCCUACAGAGCUUGACCAGGUUUCGUCCGGCAACACUGAGUGCAUCUUUAUAACCAUGAAGACAUGAAGCGAGUGAGGUGAGGUGAGCACCGUGCGGGAUGGACAAAGAGGAACAUGACACCAGGUAUUACUCACUCAAUAUUAGCGGCCAUUUGCUAGCUUUUUAGUCAGUAUUGCAACAAAACAGCCCAAAUCUGAAUCUCAAUGUACGUAUUGUGCAUAACCUUUGACUGGUACUGUAUAUACAGUAUAUUCAGUGAUUUGCUAUUUAUAUCAUGAGGCUAUUCAUCCAUAUACAUACAUUUGUCGACUUGGUCGCUAAAGUGGAUGGUUAAUCAUUCAUUCAUUUUUUACCGCUUUUCCUCACGAGGGUCGCAUGGGAGGUGCUGGAGCCUAUCCCAGCUGUUUUCCAGCGAGAGGCGUGGUACACCCUGGACUGGUCGCCAGCCAAUCACAGGGCACAUGUAGACAAACAACCAUUCACGCUCACAUUCAUACCUAUGGACAAUUUGGAGUCGCUAAUUAACCUAGCAUGUUUUUGGAAUGUGGGAGGAAACAUUCCUUAACAUUCAUUAACCUUUCAGACCAUUUUAGUGUAGUAAAUACAUCUGCAUCUUAUACUUUUGAUGAUGUGUGUCUUUAUUUGAGGAGCCCAGAGAGGGGCUGACGUCAUCGCAGCACCCCAAUGAAUGUAUUGCUCAGAUGCAAUACAGUAUGGGAAAACUUUUAAGGAGUCGUUUUUUUAUACUCAUAUUGGUAAAUGUUUGUAUAUUUGAGUGUUAUUGAGUUGCUGUAUGAUGACUUUAGUGAUAUACAAUAUUUUUAUACAGUAUACUGUUAUAUACAAUCACAGGGCACAUAUAGACAAACAACCAUUCACACUCACAUUCAUACCUAUGGACAAUUUUGAGUCGCCAAUUAACCUAGCAUGUUUUUUUUGGAAUGUGGGAGGAAACCGGAGUACCCGGAGAAAACCCACGCAUGCACGGGGAGAACAUGCAAACUCCACACAGAUAUGGGAUGGCCAAUCAAAAGUGAGUAUUUAAUUAUUUUUAUUUUUUUUACAUAGGGCUGUGCACGUGUACCUAAUAUUGUGGCCUGUGGGUGCUAGUGAACAUUCAUAAAAGAGUGUGAUGACAAAAGCAACGGAAAGAAUAUGAUUGGUACAAGUCGCCAUGACAACAGUGACGAUACAGAUGGUGGAGGUGACAAGGGGAGUCACAGAGGGGCUCGCCAUAUGAGAAGAGAGGAUGCCACACGAGACAGGAAGUGUCGGCAGUGGGGUGGAUGAGAACCUCCUGGCGUCCGCCUAACGCGGUCCUCCGCUUCUCACUAAAAAAAAUUUUUAGCGCCAAGCCCCCCUCUACGCCCCUUUGCGGUAGAUUAUGAUGUCACAAGAGGCGAGUGCAUACCAUGCUAUCUCUCCUGAUGGCCAGCUAUGAGACAGUGAGGAGAGACAGCGGAGAGCCUUUUCAGACAGCGGCCUGCGUCGCGUAUGAGCUGACAGAAAACCCACGUGGCGGGAUGCUGUACAGUACCGUGUCGCUGCGUCCUCGCCGUUUUCUUUGCUCAUUACCCCAUUUUUUUUUUUGCGCUCUUUUUCCACCUCCUGUGUUUUUUUUUUUUAAAAGAAGUGUGGGUUCCUGCAGACUAGACAGCUACACUGCGGGCAACAAUCCUCCUUCUUCCUACAGUUCCAGCUGUCCAUCACGGACAUUAUAGAGUCCAUCAGUGACAUCACGGCGUGAUAGACUCCGCCCACUUGGCCUGUGUCAAGAUCAGUAUGUGUGAAUGGUGGGAAAGCCUUUAGGACACCCGACAGAGCCUCACUAGAGACAAGAGGAAUCAGAGGUGGCCUUUCACUGUAAACAUGUUGUCACCUGGGGAACAACAUUAGUCACAAAGCACAAGCAAGGGAAGCUUUUUUUUUUUUUUAAAGCCAAUGAAGAAGCGCCACAAUUUAUCGCAUCUUUUUUUUUUACUUUUAGAUGCAAAUAAAUUGAAAGCCACAAGCGCCAAACAUCGUCUCUUAAAGGGUCGGAAAAAGGGUUAAUUCAUUAAACCAGUAGCGGGGGGGCAUGUGUGUUACCUGACACUUCACCCUGCGGCGUGCCUGUGCGUCCGAUGUUGGUGAGCAGGUGGUCGAUGUUUGGGACCGGCUGCGACUCCACGGCGCUCUCUUCGUGCGACACGGUCUGCAAUAGCAUGAGAAUUGAAGUCUUUGUAAAGCAUCUUUAGUGGUAAAAAAAAACAAAAACAAUUGGUGUAGUUUGUGUUCAAAACACGUACCACUGGAUCUCCAUUGCCCUCUUCAGUGAAAAACCAGUCAUACUGUAACGAAAUAAAGCAAAACAAUCAGUUUUUUUUAAAAAUUUGGGCAAAUAUAUGAAACAUUACAGUGCAUUUCUUACAUUAAUCAAAAUAUAACUUUCCAUUAUUUACAUUUGUAUUCAGCUGUAUCUGAAUACAAAUAUCUGAUCUGUAUCUGAUCACAAGCCCAAAAGGAGUAGGCUGAAGCAAAAGCUUAUAUUUUUGCAAAAUAUAAUCAUGUUCAUGCCACAAACUUGUUUUCCCCUGUUAUUAUUAUUAUUAUUAUUGUAAUAUUAUUAUUGUUAUUAUUCAUUCAUUUUCUACCAAUUUUUCCUCACAAGGGUCCCGGGGGGUGCUGGAGCCUAUCCCAGCUGUCUUCGGGCGAGAGAGAUGGGGUACACCCUGGACUGGUCGCCAGCCAAUCACAGGGCACAUAUAGACAAACGACCAUUCACACUCACAUUCAUACCUAUGGACAAUUUUUGAGUCGCUAAUUAACCUAGCGUGUUUUUGGAAUUUGGGAGGAAACCGGAGAAAAAAAGCAGAGCGGGGAAUCGAACCCAUCUCCUAGCUGUGUGGCCUGCGCGCUAACCCGACAUGACAUUUUAUUAUAUUACAUUACAUUCACACCACAUGUAGUCAGCCACGGCAUGUUUGACAAUAUAUAAUUCUCCUCCCAUUCUGUGUGGAAGUGGUAAGAUUUUGGCUUCUUACUUUGUCCAUCUUUUCUGUCCUGUUUGUAACUCUUACGUUUAGACGGCAAAGUAGUUAGCUCGGUUAGCAUGCUAUGACGUAGACUGCGUGGAAAGAGUGGAAGGGUCGCCAAUUAACCUAGGAUGUUUUUGGAAUGUGGGAGGAAACCGGAGUACGUGGAGAAAACCCACGCAUGCACGGGGGAGAACAUGCAAACUCCACACAGAGAUGGCCGAGGGUGGGAUUGAACCCUGGUCUCCUAGCUGUGAGGUCUGCGCGCUAACCACUCGACCACCGUGCCGCCAUUAUUGUUAUAAUCAUCAUUAAUAUUACCAUUUUCAUCAUUAUAGUUAACAAUUUUUUGGUGUUUUAAGGUGUUCCCUCAAGACGACUUACAUUCUGAAUGAGGGUCUCGACUAUCUUGUACUGGUCCGGCAUAUGUGUCACCAUGUGGGUCAUGUUAUCCUCCGUGGUGCGUACCAGUGUGGGACCAAACACGAUGGCCAGAUUCCUCGGUUCCAUCUACAACAAAGUAGAGGAAGAUCUUUAAUUCAGAACGUACGCAACAUUCCAAAAAAAAAACAUAAAACCAUAUUGUUACCUUGUUCUUCUCAGAAUUAUCAGCAACGGUUUUUAGAUGAGCAGAAAGGAACUUAAGCGUUUCGUAGUGAUGAUCCGGUAGCUCGUGAAGCUGAAAGAAUACAGAAGCAACAAAAACGUAAACAUGGACGCGGCAUCGACACCAACAGGAAGUGAAGCAACCUACCAGCCUUUUGAGAACUUUGAGCCUCUCGACUGGGUCCUCUAUUCUGUUGGCCUCGAUGAAGUCUGAGUACUUAUCUGUAGAUCCAAAAAAAAAGAUUAAUACAAGCACAGAAGAUAUAAAAGUAGUAAAGAAGAACGCACCAUUGGUGAAGAGCGGCUCGGGGAGCUUUCGGAAGAACGACUUCAGUAAACUGCUGAUCACAUUGAGAUCCCGCCAUUUCUGAACAAAUAACACACAUUUAUGACAACAAAAAAUGGAGAAGAACCGAAUCGGUACAGGAACCAGAGGCGUACAUCAUCCUGUAUAUCGAUGUCGUUCAUGCCCUUGUUAUUGAGCUCCUCCUGCAUGUUGGAGAUGGCAGCGUUGUUUCCCGGUACCCUGUAGAUCCCCGUGUACUCCAACCCUCGCUCUUCCACCAACUUGCAGCAAACCUCCACAAUAAGCGGCACAAACUAGAAAUACAUUGAAACAUUAUUAUGGGAAGAACAUAAACUGCGAUCUUAUUAUGGCAUCUAACCUUAUUGUUCUGCGCAGGAGGACAAUCAUCCAGUCUUACUCCAAAUGUGACACCAGGAGAUGGUUUCUUCUCAAAAGGUUUUCUCAUCAGUCCCGGUAUACCUUUUCUCCAUGUCACUUUGUCCUUAGGGGGGCUGGUGUCAUCUGCACGGAGCAACACAGCAUGAGUACGGCGUUCAACGAGAACACAUACACCAGGGGUGCUCAUUAAGUCGAUCACGAUCUACCGGUCGAUCGCGGAGGUGGUACUGGUCGAUCGCUGGUCGAUCGCGGCGUGACAUUAAAAAAAUAUCAUCCCAGCAUCAAUGCCGUCACUUGAUUGAUAUACAGGGCAGCCAUUCAGAUGACAACUGAAUGUUGCCCUUCGGGCGACCAAUCAAAUCAAACAACGUCUCUAAGUGCAGCAGAACUUACGAUGUCAGCCUAUCAUCCAUCGCCGUUACUUGAUUGACAUACAGGACAACCAGUCAGAUGACAACUGAAUUUUGACCUUUAGGUCACCGCUCAUGCGUAAACAACGAUGCAAAGUGCUAAGCUAGUCGGUGAAUUGCGAGAUUUUAAGCCCUCGCUAAAGUUUAUGGUCACUAAAAUGAGUGAAGGAGCUGGACCAAGUAAAAAGGCAAAAACAUAUCACUUCCAUACGGAUAUGGAAUAUUAUACGGAUAUUAUGAUACGGAUAUUAUCCAUAACUGAUAAACAUUUGGAAGUGUGCUUGAGGCUGGCUAUCAGCAGCUACUGUCCGGACUAUGCAUCCCUGGCUGGUUCAAUUCAGUGCAAGUCAUCAAAGUAAACUCAGGUAAUUACAAAAAAAAUUAAUAGUUAAUUAUGUGUGUUUUGCAAUAUUGGCUCAUUUGGUUAUGUAAGGUACAUCAACAUACAUUGUACGUACAAAUAAUCCUCAAUACAUUUGAAAAUAAAUAGAUGUUUUGCAUUUUUGUAGUGGGUAGAUCAUUUUGACUCGGUCAUUUUAAAAGUAGCUCGCAUGCUGAAAAAGUGUGAGCACCCCUGACAUACACAAACGAGAUAAAGCCACCACGCAACCUUUAUGCAUAGUCUUCUUUUCCUGCUCAGGUUUAGGGGAGUUUGGACUCUGAGCUUUGGCAUCUCCUUUCCCCCCAAGCAGGGUUUGUCUGAUGCUCAGAGAUUGGCGAGAAGAUCUAGGCGACGGUUCCGUCUUGCUGCCUGUCGGGCUAAAGAGACAAAAUAUCCUUUUUGCAGGACUUGAGUCGGACCCAUCUUCUCCUCUUGUUCUCUUACCUCAUUAAGGUGUUGUACUCCCUGAUCUUCCGGCUAAUGAGGUCAUGGCUGGUGAAGGCCGCAUUCUAAAAAAAGCAUGAAGGUGGAGGUAGAGAGGAACGCCCAUCAUUGCCAUCAUCACAGGCAGUAACGGAACUCUACUGUUAUCAUGUGACGCAGGUAUUAGCACACACACAUGAACUAAAUUCAGCUCUUUCAUUCGAUUCCAUUAAAAAAAACACACGAGGCUCAGAGCUAAACUCUUCAGCUUGAGGUGUUUACAUCUUUGUUCUAACCUCCUCGUCCAAGUUACUGUUAUCCUGGAUGACUCGAAUCCAGGCCAGCAUAUCCUCCCGAUCCUCGGCCUGGAACAGGUACUCGCAGUCCGACGUGGUGAGCCUCAGCACAUUUUUCCGCUUGGUAUCACUGUAGGAGAUGUCAAUCAAACACGCCUUGAUGCUGAUGGGUAGCGGCUCGUCCGUGGUUUGACAGUUAGCAUGCGCCUGUCCAUCUUUUUUGUCCUUGUACAGACAGAGGUAGUGUCCUCUCAGCACGGCGUACAUCUGCUUCCAAGGGCGCAUUCCGCCUCCGACGCGCUGCCGAAGUGGGUCAGUGAGAAAAUUAGGUCGAAAUGAUGGAAAAUAGUUCAAAGACGCAGCAGCGCUACACACCUUUCCUUUGUCUGUAUUUAGCUGCUUGAAAUGCAGAAGACCCUCCCUAGUCGCGUCGCAAAAGACAUCAGAUGAUGAAUCUCUCCUGGAUCCGGAAUCUUCGGAAGACCUGUCCAUUGCCUGUGAUGAACAGGGAAAAUUACAGCAUCUAAUUUGACAUUUAUUAUAUAUACUAUAUGGGGUAUUAUUUUGGUGAAGAGACUGGAUUUACCUUCCUGAGUCCUUUCAGCCCGGCUAUCAAGGACCUUCUAAAUGACGGAGAACAAAAUGAAUGAGAACCUUAAAUCUUAAAUUCUAAUUGCAACUUUAAAACUCACCCUCCACUCUCUUCACGGUAGUUAUCCAAGCCUUCGUCGUAUGACAAGGACCGCUCGGUUUUACCACCCGAAUCCGACUCGAUGAUUGUGAGACGGAGAGAAUCUAUUUAAAGAGAAGGUCAAAUCCUUACUUGUGAUGCUGACUUCAUAAAAUCUAAUAAAAGUUAAAAAAAAAAUAAAAAAAAUACCAUGGUCAUGUGACAUCUGGCGGCGCAUAAGGGGUGAUGUAGCCGUGGGGCUUGGUGGUAUGGUGGUGAUGAUCGGUGUUGUGGAAAUCACAGCCGAAGCGGGGAUGUUAACCAUGUCCAGGUCCAUGCUGGGACUGGAGGGUUCAUCUGAGGACAGGGGAUAGAGUCACGUCCUUAAACUACACACAAGAAAUGGCGUCGGAUUACAAAUAUAUUAGCGUGGACGCAUGAACGCGGCGGGGAAUGCAAUAUGGUUCUUAUAGGUUAUCACAUGGUUUGUCUGGUAUCGGUGAUCAUGAUACCGGGCCUGAUACCAGACAAACCAUGUAAUGAUCUUAUUAUCACAUACUAUUUAAUCAUGAGCUUAUUAUCACAUACUAUUUAAUCAAAAGACCAUUUUGUUUCCAGAAAAUUGUAUUAUAUCUAAACAGUGUAAACACAAUAAUUGCAAGCCAUUCAGAAAAAAGCUUGAGGUCGCCCUUGGUUUUUCCGACUUGUAUUUGCAUUUUUUAGUUUUUUUCGAUCACUUCAAGAGUGUCCUCCUCAUUAAUGGUGAUAAAACGUUCCAUUUCUAAUAUUCUGUUUGCUAUUUUCCCUAUUUGUCUUUCGCUGGGAGUGUCAACCUGCUGACAUGUUGACAGAGCACAGACGGCAGCAAAACAAACGCUGUGUGUUCACUAUCGUGCGCUGUUCUCUGAUUGGUUGUUUCACGGGCAGU